rnacentral:rRNA from 1 species
UGGGGGAUAUUGCACAAUGGGGGGAACCCUGAUGCAGCGACGCCGCGUGGAGGAAGAAGUAUCUCGGUAUGUAAACUCCUAUCAGCAGGGAAGAAAGAAGACGGUACCUGACUAAGAAGCCCCGGCUAACUACGUGCCAGCAGCCGCGGUAAUACGUAGGGGGCGAGCGUUAUCCGGAUUUACUGGGUGUAAAGGGAGCGUAGACGGCCAUGCAAGCCUGAUGUGAAAGGUGUGGGCACAACCCGCACACUGCAUUGGGAACUGUAUGGCUAGAGUGUCGGAGGGGCAGGCGGAAUUCCUGGUGUAGCGGUGAAAUGCGUAGAUAUCAGGAGGAACACCGGUGGCGAAGGCGGCCUGCUGGACGACGACUGACGUUGAGGCUCGAGAGCGUGGGGAGCGAACAGG